GAGGAUCACGAGUUCGAGGCCAGCCUG
rnacentral:piRNA from 2 species